rnacentral:rRNA from 1 species
GGAGCUUGCUUCUCCGGAUGAGUUGCGAACGGGUGAGUAACGCGUAGGUAACCUGCCUGGUAGCGGGGGAUAACUAUUGGAAACGAUAGCUAAUACCGCAUAAGAGUAGAUGUUGCAUGACAUUUACUUAAAAGGUGCAAAUGCAUCACUACCAGAUGGACCUGCGUUGUAUUAGCUAGUUGGUGGGGUAACGGCUCACCAAGGCGACGAUACAUAGCCGACCUGAGAGGGUGAUCGGCCACACUGGGACUGAGACACGGCCCAGACUCCUACGGGAGGCAGCAGUAAGGGAAUCUUCGGCAAUGGACGGAAGUCUGACCGAGCAACGCCGCGUGAGUGAAGAAGGUUUUCGGAUCGUAAAGCUCUGUUGUAAGAGAAGAACGAGUGUGAGACUGGAAAGUUCACACUGUGACGGUAUCUUACCAGAAAGGGACGGCUAACUACGUGCCAGCAGCCGCGGUAAUACGUAGGUCCCGAGCGUUGUCCGGAUUUAUUGGGCGUAAAGCGAGCGCAGGCGGUUAGAUAAGUCUGAAGUUAAAGGCCGUGGCUUAACCAUAGUACGCUUUGGAAACUGUUUAACUUGAGUGCAAGAGGGGAGAGUGGAAUUCCAUGUGUAGCGGUGAAAUGCGUAGAUAUAUGGAGGAACACCGGUGGCGAAAGC